AGAAUCAACAUCAGUCUUACACGACAGACCCUCGGUGACGGACGCCAUUAAAAUGGAAAACGAAACUGUCAGCCUCGAAGCUAUAAUUGACAAUAAUCUGACAGGCCGGGACCUGCAGGAGUUCAACAGAAUAUAUUACGGCAGAAGGGACCACAAUGAAUUGAAACUCAAAGAUUCAUCUAUCGCUGCGGCCAAGGAGGCGGACUUCGAAAUCGCAGCGUACGGUUUUCCAGCUAAAAAGGAACAUACGAGGCCACCGAGAAUAGUCAAGGUAGGGCUUAUCCAACAUUCCAUAGCCGCGCCCACUGAUCGCCCGGUCAACGAGCAGAAGAAUGCUUUAUUCGCAAAGGUUAAGAAGAUUAUUGACGUCGCCGGACAAGAGGGCGUCAAUAUAAUUUGCUUCCAUGAAUUAUGGAACAUGCCCUUCGCUUUUUGUACUCGGGAAAAGCAGCCAUGGUGCGAAUUCGCUGAGUCCGCUGAAGAAGGUCCCACGACUCGCUUCUUAAAGGAGUUGGCUGUUAAAUACGCGAUGGUCAUCGUCUCGUCUAUCCUCGAACGUGACGAGAAGCACAGCGACAUCUUGUGGAACACGACCGUCGUGAUCAGCGACACUGGCAACGUGAUCGGUAAACAUCGCAAGAAUCACAUCCCGAGAGUGGGAGAUUUUAACGAAUCCAAUUACUACAUGGAAGGUAACACUGGUCAUCCAGUAUUCGCGACUCGCUACGGUAAAAUCGCUGUUAACAUCUGCUUCGGCCGUCACCAUGUUCUUAACUGGAUGAUGUACGGCCUCAAUGGGGCUGAGAUCGUCUUCAACCCAUCUUGUACAGUCGCCGGUGAAGCGGGCAGUGAGUACAUGUGGAAUAUAGAAGCGCGGAACGCUGCGAUCACCAACUGCUACUUCACGGCCGCUAUAAACAGAGUUGGGUACGAAGAGUUCCCGAAUGAAUUCACCUCAGCCGAUGGUAAGCCAGCGCACAAAGAUCUGGGUCUGUUCUACGGGUCAAGUUACUUCUGUGGUCCGGAUGGCGUCCGAUGUCCGGGACUAUCCCGAACUAAAGACGGUCUUCUCAUCGCUUCUAUGGAUUUGAACAUGAACAGACAGAUAAGAGACCGUCGCUGUUACUAUAUGACGCAAAGACUCGACAUGUACGCGGACAGCCUGAGGAAGGUUCUCGACUUGGAUUACAAGCCACAGGUCGUACAUGAAAAUGACAAGUGAAGAGGCUUUUGUAAUAAUUUUUAAGCUUUCAUUAUUAACCAUUUUAUUCAGUUCAAUAAACAAUUUAUAAAUUA